rnacentral:rRNA from 1 species
UACGGGGGGAGCAAGCGUUGUUCGGAUUCAUUGGGCGUAAAGGGCGCGUAGGCGGCUUGGCAAGUCCGUCAUGAAAUGUACCGGUUCAACCGGGGCACUGUGUCGGAAACUGCCUGGCUUGAGGUCGAGGGAGGAGAGUGGAAUUCCUGGUGUAGCGGUGAAAUGCGUAGAUAUCUGGAGGAACACCGGUGGCGAAGGCGGCAUCCUGGACCAUUACUGACACUGAAAAGCGAAAGCCAGGGGAGCAAACGGG